GACCCAUGGAGUCUGAUCUACAACACAAGCAGUAGCAGUUCCACAUCUCCCUACCACCUCUUAUUUCCUGCGAAGGCUUUCUGCCUGAAACUGGAAAACCCGAACUAUUAUUGAGGAAGUGAAGCCCUUCCAUUUGAAUCCUGAGAAAGACGCGCUCAAAGAACCCAGCGAACAAAGGAGAGGGUUGGAGCCCACGCAAAACAUGGGUGUGAUAAAGCCACACGCGACUUGAGUCCCCACCCUCAGUAACUACUCUCCAGCGCCCACCCGGGAGGAGGGGUCCGGGGAAAGGAUUGGCAUCCUCUGCUUCUUGAAUCCCCAUGCAGAAAACAUGGCUACCAACAUCUUCUGAAUCCACCUGCGGAGAGACUGACUGCUCUGUUAUUCCCCCAGCAUCUGUGAAGAGGCUCUAACUGGCUAAAAUGUUGAUAUAGUGAUCACCCCAGUGUUAGGCAACCAUGGCUGGUGAAAAGGAAAAAUGUUAUGAACCUGGCUGUGCCGAGCCACCUGAGGAAGCUUGUAGGAGAAGGGGUCAGUUUGCAGAGAAAGGGGAGGCCUGGGCAGACGACACAAGAGGUGCCCAUUACAUCCCUGUAGAGGAAGGAGUCUGUAGCUUUAGGGGAAGACAAAGCCACAAGAUGGAAGGAGCUUGGAUGUCUGAACUAUUCCAUGGAGAAAAGCUGCAGCCAAUGAAGAACACCUGCAAUGGACUCUUAACCUGGGGGUGACGACAACCACUGAAAUGAGUUCAAUUCCCCUCAAGCUGCUGGAAGAGACGCUGCUCGUUCUUCCACAGCAGCCUAGACACCAUGGAGGCUGAGAGAUGGGUUUACUGCCCUUGCCUCUAGCAGUUAUGGAAUUCUAUGCCACACAAAUCCUCUAUCUGUUGCAAAAAUGUGCAUCCCAAGAUGGUGCUCUUGAGCUGUGGUGGAGUAUCUUCAGACAUACACUGUGGGUCCCACAAUGACGCAAUGGAGAAAAAGGACACCACUAAAGAACUACCGGGGUGCAGCAUUCCUGAGUGGCAGAAGCCUUGCAGGAAAUGGCAAUGCUGCAUCUUAGUCCAGGGAUUUUUAAAGUGUGGUUCCUGGAAGAGCUGGAUCAGAGUCAUCUGUGUUGAUGGUUUAACGUAAAGAUUUUUCGGGCCCCAAGACUCAAGUAGGACAAGGUGAGUCUUCCUGAGGCUUUACCAAGGAAACAGGCAGUUUUAGAGUUGGUCUUAAGGAUGUUCUCUGGUGUCAUCAAAGAAAUGGAAAUGCAAAGCACAGACAUGUGCAUUUAGAUAUGUGUAAGACGGUAGACUAUUUUUAGAGGAAAAUGGCUGCUGAGUGUGUGGAAAGAGUAUAAAAGAUUUCAGUGGGAAGAUACUACAAUCAUUUGAAAUUCUCCAUUGCUGGAAAAUUCUCAAAUUAGGCUUAUGAAGGCAAUUUGAUUUAGCAAACAGCUCACUGGACCAAGCAAAAGCUUCUCAGCAGGGAUGGAAUUUGCACUGCACUUGUCCCUGGUUCUCACCUUCCCUGAGCAGCAGCGCAUCUGCAGUGUCCCAGCUGAUGCCCCACAAAGGCCUUGAAGCUUGUCUUCCAGAAGAGCCUUCAUUUCAGGGGCAGCAAUCCAGGAAGCACGCCCGUGAAACACUCAUGAGGAGGAACUGGGCUGCCAAUUAAUGACUUCUCACUGCUCCAUCAACAUAAAACGGCCAGAAGGACUCCACCAAAUUUCAACACUAAUAUAACCACCUGUUACCAGUCAUCAACAAAUAGUUACUGAGGACCUACCAUGCAUCAGGAACUGCAGAUGCAGGAAAUAAUAUGGACAACA